UACGAAGGGGGCUAGCGUUGCUCGGAAUCACUGGGCGUAAAGCGCACGUAGGCGGACUCUUAAGUCGGUGGUGAAAUCCUGGAGCUCAACUCCAGAACUGCCUUCGAUACUGAGAGUCUUGAGUCCGGGAGAGGUGAGUGGAACUGCGAGUGUAGAGGUGAAAUUCGUAGAUAUUCGCAAGAACACCAGUGGCGAAGGCGGCUCACUGGCC
rnacentral:rRNA from 1 species